GUUGUGCCCACUGGCAAAUCUGUCCUGUUCUGGUGGCAAAGCAACUUAAAUUCAUGCUAUAAGUGGUUUUGCUUACCACAGAAAGAGUGGAACAUGAAAGCGGGGCAAGAGGAUAUACAUCCACACAAGUAAUCUAGCCACAACAGACAUUUGCCUCCACCAUGUGGCAAAAACCUUGUCCGUAAUCGGCCUAGCUCUUGCAUACCACAGAAGUAAACCAUUUCAUUUUGAAAGCGAUGUGUGCCCCCAAUUGUAUCUCAGAGCAAAAAAUGUUUCAUCAGGUAAUAUAAAAUUUUAAAUUAAUUUUUAAAAACAUUUUUAAAGCAUUAAAUCUUUUUUAAAAAUUAAUUUUAAAUUUUUUUACAUGCUACCUUUUUUCUGAACAUCUUAACUAUGACCCAAGAAGAGUAAUAGCAACAUAACAAUAGAGAUGGGUUUGUCUCUCUCCCCUCACCCUGUCCCAUCACUAUCUUCCACCAGUAGCUGACAACCUUUUUGUUUGCUUUAGCAUUCCUUACCAACCCUCCUUCCUAUUUAUGUUUUAAAUUAUUGUUAUGUGUGUACGGGCUAUUUUUAAAGUUGCUCUUUAAUAUUUUUAAUUGUUCACUGCCUUGAAGAUCUGGAUUGAGUUGAAAGGCUAAAUACAAAUAUUUUAAAUAAAAAUGGACAUUUCAAAAAUUUGAAUAAAAUAAAAACAAUUUUAUAGAACAAUUUUUUUAAAAAAAACACGAAAUCUAGAACAUUAAAAACCAGUUUAGAAACUUUUAAUGCACCCACAGCAGAUAUUCUUCCCUCUGCCCUGGCCCAGACUGCUGUGGAGAGACAGAGAGGAGUUUGUAAUUUGAGACUGCUUACAGGAGAAAAAGCAAGGUAUAAAUCCAAACUCUUCUCCUCCUCCAAAAGAUCUCUAGAAUAGCUAAGUUUUGCAACUCAACUAGAAAGUCAGGAAGAAGAGAAAGGUGGGAUAUAAAUCCAAAUUCUUCUUAUUCUUAUUCUUUGGUGAAGGGUGACAGAACAAGAAUGGCUUGGUCCUGCCAGCUAGUCCCAGAUAUAAUCUAGUUAUUUUGCUAGAGCAGGAAGAAAAAGGACAAAGCUGGAGAAACAUACCUUGCUCAUGCAGGCUGCUAAACAUUCCAAAAAAGUAUGCUUUACAUGAUUGUAUUCAUAGCUUUCGUGACAUUUUAUUAACAUGCUGUGACACAUGUAUCUCAGUAACAAACUGCAUUUUGCAGUGUGAACUUUUACACUGGAAAAAUGAGGGGUGGGAACUGCACAUGCAUAUUUUUAGUCAUUACUGGACCAUAAUGCAGAGUGACUUCCCAAAAAACACAGUAAUGCAAUGAGGAAAUCUGUCCACCCCUCCUGUGAGGAUGAAAGCAUCUGAUCUCAUAGAGCAUGUGGUGUCAUAGAGAUGCAGGUUAUCUUUCAGAUGGAGAGAUUACCAUGAAGGUUCAUAGUCCAGAUUAAGGGUUCUGAGCCUGAAGAUCUUGAAGGAUCAAAUGCAACUCAACCAUGGAUAACCUGCAUGCUGUUAAUUAAGAAAUUGUCUCUCAGCCCCAUCUGGCAUGUGUUGAUAAUCCUGGACUAUCUUAAAGGAUCAUUUGAUGCGUUAGUGACAUAACAUAAAAAUACACCAUUAUCCAUUGGGCCUUUAAAAAACAACAACAUGGAUGAGAGUCAAUUAUACAAAUUAGAUACAUUUCAAGUUGGCAUAAUGAUCCAUGAAAUAGGGAAGAGAAGUAUAACUCUCAAAAGUAUUUCCUUACAUGCUCCACUGCUAUUGCACAUGAUGAAAAAUAGAUGGAACACAAACUCUGCAUAGCACAGAAAGAGUUGAUAGAGUUUUUUCCCUGCUCAGUGUACUUGGUCAAAUCUAAGGCACCUCAUGUUUGAGUGAAACUGUAUAUACAUUCUAUCUCUAUCAGGGUCACUAGUUACUAUCAAAGAGCAUUUACAUAGGAUUUUUUCUACUCAUAUUCAGUAUGAUUGUGUCCGAAUGUUUUUUUCUCUUUGCCAUCAAGAACAAACUGUACUCAGAAAUGCUGUAUGUUCCUCUCAAGUACAUGCAUGCUAUUCUCUUCAACCUUCAUUGUGUGUGUAUGCCUGUUUCUAGCUUUCCUACCUUUACAUUUGCAAUAAAUCUUCUGCCUUUGCCUCUUU